rnacentral:rRNA from 1 species
GGAAAGGGGGAUUUCCCGGUUAGGGGUGAAAAGGGUUGGGGAUGGGUGGGAACCCCAGUGGGGAAGGCGGCUUUUUGGACUGUAACUGACGCUGAGGCGCGAAAGCGGGAGGAGCAAACAGGAUUAGAUACCCUGGUAGUCCACGGCAGUAAACGAUGAUUACUAGUUGUUUGCGAUACACAGUAAGCGAUUGAGCGAAAGCAUUAAGUAAUCCACCUGGGGAGUACGUUCGCAAGAAUGAAACUCAAAGGAAUUGACGGGGGCCCGCACAAGCGGAGGAACAUGUGGUUUAAUUCGAUGAUACGCGGGGAACCUUACCUGGGCUUGAAAUGCAUUUGACCGGCACAGAGACGUGCCUUCUCUUCGGAGCAGAUGUGUAGGUGCUGCAUGGUUGUCGUCAGCUCGUGCCGUGAGGUGUCGGCUUAAGUGCCAUAACGAGCGCAACCCUUAUCGUUAGUUGCUAACAGGUCAUGCUGAGGACUCUAGCGAGACUGCCAUCGUAAGAUGUGAGGAAGGUGGGGAUGACGUCAAAUCAGCACGGCCCUUAUGUCCAGGGCGACACGCGUGUUACAAUGGGUGGUACAAAGGGCAGCUACCGGGCGACCGGGUGCUAAUCUCCAAAACCACUCUCAGUUCGGAUCGAAGUCUGCAACUCGACUUCGUGAAGCUGGAUUCGCUAGUAAUCGCGCAUCAGCCACGGCGCGGUGAAUACGUUCCCGGGCCUUGUACACACCGCCCGUCA